UAGGGAAUCUUCCGCAAUGGACGAAAGUCUGAUGGAGCAACGCCGCGUGAGUGAUGAAGGUUUUCGGAUCGUAAAACUCUGUUGUCGGGGAAGAACAAGUAUGAUAGUAACUGAUCGUACCUUGACGGUACCCGACCAGAAAGCCACGGCUAACUACGUG
rnacentral:rRNA from 1 species